AACGAACGCUGGCGGCAGGCUUAACACAUGCAAGUCGAGCGCCCCGCAAGGGGAGCGGCAGACGGGUGAGUAACGCGUGGGAAUCUACCCAUCUCUACGGAAUAACGCAUGGAAACGUGUGCUAAUACCAUAUACGUCCUUCGGGAGAAAGAUUUAUCGGAGAUGGACGAGCCCGCGUUGAAUUAGCUAGUUGGUGGGGUAAAGGCCUACCAAGGCGACGAUCCAUAGCUGGUCUGAGAGGAUGAUCAGCCACACUGGGACUGAGACACGGCCCAGACUCCUACGGGAGGCAGCAGUGGGGAAUAUUGGACAAUGGGCGCAAGCCUGAUCCAGCCAUGCCGCGUGAGUGAUGAAGGCCCUAGGGUUGUAAAGCUCUUUCACCGGUGAAGAUAAUGACGGUAACCGGAGAAGAAGCCCCGGCUAACUUCGUGCCAGCCGCCGCAGUAACAC
rnacentral:rRNA from 1 species